CUCCUAUUUUCCCCUCUCUGCCUAGGGAACUAGAAUGUUCAAUUGCAUGUUUUAAGAGAUUUGCUUUAUCUUGAAUCUGCAGGCAUUCAUCACCAUAUGCAGCAGCUUGAAAAAUAAUUAUAUUCAAAAGACGGAGCAUUCCACAUCACACUGCCAAGCAGAGAUUAGAAGGGAGACUUACAGGCUUAUUGGAAUAUCCGGAUUUUGAGACAUGGAAGAAAAAGAGCCUGAAGAAAGACUGGUCAUCCUUGCAGAUCUCAAGCCAGGCCUUAAGGGUGUCUGUGAAGUUCUCCAAGGGCACAUGACCCCACUGUUAGCAUGA
rnacentral:lncRNA from 13 species